UUUUCUGCCACUUAGUUGCUAUGACCUUUUGACAAGUUACUUGACUUCUGUGGAUCUUAGAGUCUUCGUCUGUUAAAACAGGAGUCCCCAACCCCUGGGCCGUGGACUGGUGCUGGUCCAUGGCCUGUUAAGAACUGGGCCACACAGGAAGAGGGUGAAGCAUGGAUGAGGUUAUGACUCAGCUUUGACCAUGCAGCCAAAGACAACAUCCUAGGAACUGUGAGCCAAGGGGAUGGGAGGAAGCCAUGGCCCCGACUGACCCGAUGGAGCUGAGUAGCCCGACCAGUCUGGACCACCCACCCCUGGCCUUUUGCUUGAGAAAUAAAUUAAUUUCAGAUUCUUUAAACCUCUGA